rnacentral:rRNA from 1 species
CCAGACUCCUACGGGAGGCAGCAGUGGGGGAUAUUGCACAAUGGGGGAAACCCUGAUGCAGCGACGCCGCGUGUGGGAAGACGGUCCUCUGGAUUGUAAACCACUGUCCCCAGGGACGAAGAUGACGGUACCUGGGGAGGAAGCUCCGGCUAACUACGUGCCAGCAGCCGCGGUAAUACGUAGGGGGCAAGCGUUAUCCGGAUUUACUGGGUGUAAAGGGAGCGUAGACGGCAUGGCAAGUCAGAUGUGAAAGCCCGGGGCUCAACCCCGGGACUGCAUUGGGAACUGGCGCGCUGGAGUGCCGGAGGGGUAGGCGGAAUUCCUAGUGUAGCGGUGAAAUGCGUAGAUAUUAGGAGGAACACCAGUGGCGAAGGCGGCCUACUGGACGGUGACUGACGCUGAGGCUCGAAAGCGUGGGGAGCAAACAGGAUUAGAUACCCCCGUAAA